rnacentral:rRNA from 1 species
CUUGACCUCAGAUCAGGCGGGACUACCCGCUGAAGCUUAAGCAUAUCAAUAAACGGUGGAAAAGAAACUAACAAGGAUUCCCCUAGUAACUGCGAGUGAAGCGGGAAAAGCUCAAAUUUAAAAUCUGGCGGUCUCUGGCCGUCCGAGUUGUAGUCUGGAGAAGUGUUUUCCGCGCUGGACCGUGUACAAGUCUCCUGGAACGGAGCGUCAUAGAGGGUGAGAAUCCCGUCUUUGACACGGACUACCAGUGCUCUGUGAUGCGCUCUCAAAGAGUCGAGUUGUUUGGGAAUGCAGCUCAAAAUGGGUGGUGAAUUCCAUCUAAAGCUAAAUAUUGGCGAGAGACCGAUAGCGAACAAGUACCGUGAGGGAAAGAUGAAAAGCACUUUGGAAAGAGAGUUAAACAGUACGUGAAAUUGUUGAAAGGAAAACACUUGAAGUCAGUCGCGUUCCUCGAGACUCAGCCUUGCCUUCCGGCCUGGUGUACUUCUCGUUGAACGGGCCAGCAUCAAUUUUGAUCGUCGGAUAAAGGCGGGAGGAAGGUGGCACCCCUCGGGGUGUGUUAUAGCCUCUCGUCACAUACGACGGUUGGGAUUGAGGACCGCAGCACGCCUUUAUGGUCGGGGUUCGCCCACGUUCGUGCUUAGGAUGCUGGCGUAAUGGCUUUAAAUGACCCGUCUUGAAACACGGACCAAGGAGUCUAACAUGCCCGCGAGUGUUCGGGUGGAAAACCCGUGCGCGUAAUGAAAGUGAAAGUUGGGACCUCUGUCGUGGAGGGCACCGACGCCCGGACCAGAGGUUCUGUGACGGAUCUGCGGUAGAGCGUGUAUGUUGGGACCCGAAAGAUGGUGAACUAUGCCUGAAUAGGGUGAAGCCAGAGGAAACUCUGGUGGAGGCUCGUAGCGAUUCUGACGUGCAAAUCGAUCGUCAAAUUUGGGUAUAGGGGCGAAAGACUAA